rnacentral:ncRNA from 2 species
CCCAGUGUUCAGACUACCUGU